CCAUAGUGGUGUCCUGCUGAAGCAAUGGACACCAGAAGCAGAAGAUUCAACACCACAGCCGAGGACAUCAUGGUACCUGAGCCCCUGAGCUCACUUCACCUGUGAGACGAACCUGAGGAGCUGCUUUUAUACAUCUCAGACAAUCACUCCACACACCAUGGCUACUGUUGCCACAAGACAAACAGCGACGACAACAAGGUUUAGAUUCAGACCCGGGCUUACGGUGACCUCUGAAAUCCGCAGGGGCCCCUGGGAGAUGACGUGACUGCCGGUCUGGAUGGGAGCCUCUCUUCUGUGAUGGUGGUGGGCCGGUGGAGCGACUGUGCUGUUGAUGCAGCCCUGAGAGCAGCGGGUGUAGGGAUUGUUGGCCUCGCAUAUG